GUGCUGACUUCGGCAGCAGGUAUACUAAAAUUAGAAUGGCACACAGGAGGUUAGCAUGGCCCCCUGUGCAAGGAGGAUCGCACAUUCAUGCAGCAUUCCAUAUUUUU
ensembl:snRNA U6 U6 spliceosomal RNA